rnacentral:rRNA from 1 species
GAUGAACGCUGGCGGCGUGCCUAAUACAUGCAAGUCGAGCGAGACUCUUCGGAGUCUAGCGGCGGACGGGUGCGUAACACGUGGGCAACCUGCCUGUAAGACUGGGAUAACACCGGGAAACCGGUGCUAAUACCGGAUAAUCCUUUUCCUCUCAUGAGGAAAAGCUGAAAGUCGGUUUCGGCUGACACUUACAGAUGGGCCCGCGGCGCAUUAGCUAGUUGGUGAGGUAACGGCCCACCAAGGCUUCGAUCGGUAGCCGGCCUGAGAGGGCGGACGGCCACACUGGGACUGAGACACGGCCCAGACUCCUACGGGAGGCAGCAGUGGGGAAUUUUUCGCAAUGGGGGAAACCCUGACGAAGCAACGCCGCGUGGAGGAUGAAGGCCUUCGGGUCGUAAACUCCUGUCGACCGGGAAGAAUGCACCUGACCUAAUACGUCGGCGUGUUGACUGUACCGGUGGAGGAAGCCACGGCUAACUCUGUGCCAGCCGCCGCGGUAACAC